rnacentral:lncRNA from 1 species
CUCCAUUAUGAAGGUUCGUAUCUGAAACUGACAUUGCUGGCUCAUAUGCAAUGAUAAAAUCCGGCUCAAUUAAUCUGAAGAAAAUUGGAAAAUGUAUAACAAAAUUAGCAGCGAAUUAAUUUUAACAAAAUUAACUGGGUCAUUUAACAUAUGAUCCACUUAUGGGUUUAAGCAGAGAACCUAUUUGGGUGCAAAACCUAUGAGGGUUCAACUACUAAAGGAGCGGCCGACAACGAUUAUAAAGAGUUACGAUCAGGUAAUACCUUCUCUCGGAGACGGUGCCGCCGAGUAGAUGGCGGCGGUUAGUGUGUCGCAAACUAUAAGUGCCGGUAUAGCGCGGUCGACGGCGCAAAGGAAAAACGGCGCGUUCACGCGAGGAGGAGGCGGCGAGAAGAACACUGACGUCCGACCCCUCAGAUCACGUUGGCGGUGGGCGGCGAGUGGUGGCCGCCGACUCCUGUAUUCUGUGGGCGACCGGCGUCUCCGAUCUGAUCUUGCAGCGGUCGUGCGAGGUGCGGACGGCCCGGGUGGUUAGAAUGCGGAGCUGUAAUCGCGGAAUUUAGGGAGGGGUGGGCCGCGUGAGUUAUGUGAGAUUUGGAUAAAUGAUAUAAAAAAAUAAGAAAAUCUUGUCAACUCGUUUAGGGGUUUAGGGUUAUUAGGGUUUAGGGGUUUAGGGGUUCAGGGUUUAGUGGGGGGGUUAGGGUUAUCAGGGUUCAGGGUUUAGGGUUUAGUGGGGGGGGUAGGGUUAUCAGGGUUUAGGGUUUAGUGUUGACAUGCAAGCCCGGAAAUGCGCGUGUCAGAGAUCGUACUUGCGUGUACAUGUACUAAUGAUCCCAAACUUUCUUAAUGGCAUCCCAUGACCACAUAGAGAAUGCAUGCAUAAUGGUUUCCAUGUGGGGCAAAAUUUUGAAUGUUGUUACGGUUUAGUGGGGGGGUUAGGGUUAUCAGGGUUUAGGGUUUAAGGGUUUUAGGGUCGACGGAACUAUGUUUGUCUUACAGUGGACGUAGCACACACACCGGACAUUGGUGGAGCGUUGGUCUACAAUGGAUUCCCUCCGGUAGCAUCGAUCCGGUCCGUUGACUGGCUCGGCCGACAAACUUCGUCCGACAUAGAGCAUGCGUCCAUCCACUGGACCGGAUCGAUGUUGGGUUGGUUUCAUACAGGUGAGGAACCCAGCUAGUGCUUUCGGGGUGUUGACAUGCUAGGCCGGAAAUGCGCGUGUCAGAGAUCGUACUUGCGUGUAUAAUCCCAAACUUUCCUCAUGGCAUCCCAUGACCCCAUAGAGAAUGCAUGCAUAAUGGUUUCCAUGUGGGGCAAAAUUUUGAAUGUUUUUAUGGUUUAGUGGGGGGGGGUCAGGGUUAUCAGUGUUUACGAUUUUAGGGUUGACGGAACUAUGUUUGUCUUACAGUGGACCUAUCACACACACCGGACAUAGGUCGAGCGUUGGUCUACAAUGGAAUCCCUCUGGUAGCAUCGAUCUGGUCCAUCGACUGGCUCGACCGACAUACUUCGUGCCACAUAGAGCAUGCAUCCAUCCACUGAACCGGAUCGAUAUUGGGUUGGUUUACAUGUACAUGUACAGGGACCGGAAAUGCGUGUGUCAGAGAUCGUACUUGCGUGUACAUGUACUAAUGAUCCCAAACUUUCAUCAUGGCAUCCCAUGACCCCAUAGAGAAUUCAUGCAUAAUGGUUUCCAUGUGGGGCAAAAUUUUGAAUGUUUUUACGGUUUUGUGUGUGUGGGGGGUGGUUAGGGUUCAGGGUACAUGCCACAUUGUUCACAUUGUCCAAUUAACACUUUGUAUAGAUUUUUUGGGUAAAAAAUGAACGAAAUAAUGCAACUAAUCUGAACGUAACGUUUGGCAUGUAUCAAACCAAGUAGCCACUAUUCCUCAAAAAAAACCAGUUAGCCACUAAUUGCGCCAAACAUAUCACGUAAUAAAUGGGUUGACAAUUAUUUCUUGAAAUUCGUGGAAGGAAUUUAUUGCUCUUCCUUUUAUUUGUCCUUUCCAAUAGAUUUCAAAUGAGCUUUUCCUUGGUCUGGUCAUACAAGGCAUUAAGCACACAUGACAUUGCUUAUACAGAAGCUGACUAAAAUAAUUUGUUAACAACUACUAACGACUGAUGAUCAACAAGUAAACAAAUCCCACAACAAUUAUUGAAAAAUAAAAUCCCGCGGCCAUCAGAUUUGCGUGCUUCUUCAGAUCGAUCAACUGCCUUAAGUUCUUGUUGAUCUUCUUCAAUUCCACCUUGAGUUCCGCAUCCGCCACCAUCGGAGGAACAUUGGCAUAGCCCUUAUUAUCCACCGCCGAUGGCAGAUCUACCUCUAGGGUUGCCCCGUGCCUCAAAUCAAUUAAGCCAUCCGUUUGAAGCCUCUCAACGUAUUCAUCCAGCCACUCAAAAUGCUUGCAUGUUUUCAGGUUUUGAAAAAGGGAAGGGAAACCCUAAAUACCAAUUCCGAGGAAAUAUAAAUAAAUCUGGGGUCAGAAUUCAUAGCAAAAAGACACAACAGAACAUAGAUUUAACCUUCCCCGCUUCUGGUUUGCUCUCGCAUUUCACAAAUUCCCGCCCAUGGUUUCCAUUCUUCUCCGAUAUGGUUGUCAAACGCUUCAGUGGCGCGAUGCGUGGGCAGUCGGGGCAUCUGGUCAUCGGUAGUGAACCAUACCGCGGCCAUGAUGACGGAGAGGCCGAACUGGACAUGGACAUCUCUCGUCUCUCACCGUCCGCCGGCGAUGUCAGGCUUCGUCGCCGGAGAAGAAUGACAAUUUGGUGGGGCAAGGGAAAGGGAGGCAAUGGUGGGCCGCAGGUUGGCACGGGCACGGCGAUGGCUCGGGCUUGUGUGAUAUGUGGUUGGACCCACGGUCAGUGCACAUGUUUUGGAAGCCCCCAAAAGAUCAUGCUCCUUAGAAAAAACUUGCAUCAAAGCGCAUUACUUCCAAAUAACUAAUUAACCCUACAAUCACGGAUAUAUACCUUCCCAUUCUACCGCAUAUCAACCCUAUCCUAACCACCCCCAUCUACCUUGUUUCUCCUCACAUAGCCAUCGUCGGGAUCGCGCCAUCGCUUCUGAAGCGACCACGCCGACGCCGGAUUAAAAAGGUCUCCUCCACAGCUCCUCCCAUCUUCGAUUGCAGUGCUGAUUAAUUUUUCCAUUCAUUCGACCAAGAAGUCAUUUCCGAAGAGAUUAGAAAAUACAGCCUUUGCCAUAGUUGAGUAGUUCUGGUGUAAUUGGAGUACAGGAUGUCAUGCAAGAGCUUUUUGAUUGAUAGUUUGUAGUAGUUGUUCGUACGAACUGGUUAUGAAUAUAUUUUCUCGGUGGUAUUGUUAGGAAUUAGUUGGAUGAGGUUGUGGAUACAGUUUUCAUACAAUGGGUAUAUGUGUUGUUGUAGGGACCAUGGUCUCAGAGGCGCAUAACAACCAUGCGGAGUACGACAAGUCUUUGCAUGAAGCGCGCCGGGAGAUCGACUUGAAGGUGCAAAAGGAUCGCGCUGAGGUAGAUAAGAAACUCAAAAAAGAACGUUCAUACGUGGACAGGAUGAUAAAGGAGGAGCGUGAGGAGUUUUCCCGUAAGAUGGCGAAGAUGCGUCUUGAGAUUGAAGAAAAGUAUAAGCGGGACUGUGAGGACAUGGAAAAAAAAGUUUUUCCUUGGCUACAAGGAAAUGCAUCAAACGUUGCAGAAGGGCCGGAAGCUUGUGGACAGUAUUAUACAGACAGAGCGAUUCAGGAUGGAUGCCUAUGUGUUGCAGGCACGUUCGGAUAUGGACAGCAAGCUGCUACAGGAGCGGUCGGACAUGGAUUAUAAGGCCAUGCUGGAGAAGGUCCGUUUGGAAGGACAUAUGUUAGAAGCCCGUGCGAUCUCACGGCCACCCCGACAACAUGUCUUCAAUUUUUCUCCCCCUGUAAGUAUCUCGCACCGAUUGUAUAUAUUAAGGACCUACGUAUUCUAUGAUACAAACAUCUUCAAUUUGUGGCAACCUUAUGUCGGCGAUUGUAUGUAGGCUAAGCAUCAUGAGACGGCAUAGUCGCCAUCCACUCGAGAAAGUGCGAUAGAGUCACCCGUUGAAUGCCACAUCACUCCACCCCAACAACAUAUCUUCAAUUCUCCCCUUGUAAGUACCUCCCAACGAUGACAUACCCAAGAUAUGGUAUGACCUUUUAAAAUUUGUGUGUAAACCCACUGUCGACGUUUCAUACGCAGGAUAAGAAACGUGUGAUGGCAGAGUCCCCAGUCACACCACAUGAAGGAUACAUUCCACAUAACAAGGUGAGAAGGUUUGAGAUGGCACAAUCCCCAGUCACUCCACAUGAAGGAUACAUUCCACAAAAGCAGGUAACAACACCGCAAUGUUGCUAUGCACAUAAAAAAUUAUGUUUGCCCCUUUACUCAUUUAAUGUAUUAACUCUGAUGUGAGAUACUAGGUGCUGGUCAUGGAAUUUUUUGUUGGUAGGGAUGAUGAGAUGUCACAUGUCCCGAGAGCAUACUUUGAUGAACACCCGGCAGAAGUCAAAAUUUUUGAACCCGCCAAAGUGACCUACGAUCUCAUUAUGAGUGAAAUGAGAGAUACUUUUGGUUGCAAACUGGGAGCAGAACUGUACUACUUCUUACCCGGGUCUGCGUGGAAGCUGCCAGAAGGAAUGUUCUUGAUUGCAGGACCAGAUGAUGUAGAAAAAAUGCUUUUUGAUCUGAAUGGCAGCAAGACAUGUCACCUGUACAUUGUGUACAAUAGAACUACGGGUUGUUUUCCCGAGGAUGACAUUGAUCCAGAGGUUCAAAUUUUACGUGUUACAUGCAUCUAGUUUAUGGCUACGUCAUUUUUAAGUUCUUCCUAAUACAAUUCCUAUGGUUUUCUACAGGAAGUGAGAAUCCAAGAAAUGGAGGGUCUUGCUAGAGAGUUGGCGGAGAAAGAACAAGAACAACUUCAGUUGUAUGGUUACAUUGAUGUUAAAGAGAAAAAGAUUGAAGCACAUGGGUCGUCGCCAAGCCCGACGCAAUCUCCAACGUCGCAACGCAAGAGGUCACUGGAUUUUGGCAGUGCAGAAGACCAUAUGGAGUAGGCUCAAUUGUUUUUCAACCAGUUUAAGCUUCAAACCAGGAUUAUUUUGUUGCAAACAAACAUUUUUUUUUCUGUUUCACACUAUGUUCGCAAUUAUGGUACAAUUUAUUCAUGAGACAGUUCUUUGAACAACAAUGCAUGUGUUUUAUGAUCAAUCAUACAGUUGUUUCUGAGUUGUUUGUGAGAUGGCAUUUCAUCUAAAGAAGUUUCCAUCUAUAAAACUUGUAAAAAAUCAUUGAUGUUGUCUUUGUUGAAACUGUUUUUUCGUGCCUUUCAUCUACACGUGUAAUCAUUAUAGCCUACAAAACCAUACAACAUCGCAAAACAAUUUCCAGUUGGCAUGGAUGCUUGUCAUGUUGGUACAAGGGUUUCAAAAAAAAUUUGGGUCCAUUUCAAGCAUGCCGAAAAAAUCCGUCUUCCUAGAUGGAACAUCCCCUGCUACCCGAACGGCUAAGUUGAAUGACACCAAUUUUUUCCAUCAAGCGCGCAAGCACACCCCUGUGGGCCGCGUGAAAUCUGAGCUAACCCCAAAACUUGCUGGUUUUGACGUCAAAUAAGAUAGAAAUAUCAAGGGAAGAAGAUAGAAAUAGCAUGCAAAACAUAGAUAACCAACAACAUAUCAAAUAGACGGGUAGAAAUCAUAACAUAGUUCGGAUAGAUAAAGUUCACGGUAGAACCAACAACAUGAUUUAAUAGAAAUAUUUAAAAGAUAAAAAACUUGCCCUAACACGCUAGGGCAAGACAAGCUGACGAGACCGGGCCUUCACCACCAUCUUCACUGCCCCUCCUCUCCAGUGCUCCUCUCCAUCCCGUCCUCGCCGAUGUAGUAGGGGAGGGUGUGCAUACCGUCGCGGGUGGGGAAGACGCAGUCGAGGUUUGUGAAGAUGUUGUGGGUUGUGAAUGCGAUGAAUUCGCAUCCACACCAAAACACCUUGCCGAGGAGGUAGUACGCAUCAAAUCUGUUGGUGAAGGUGACGGUGAGCCCUAUCGGCGGAGACCAGGAGUUUGGACGCACUUCAUCCAGUCGGAACAUCACCGGCGAGCCCGCCGGGAGGUGGGCGAAGCCCGCACGGAGGAACCACUGGGCAAAGCCCCUUGCACCCCUCCAGCGUAAGAAUGCCCACACGCGAAGCGUGCUCUCCACGACGACGCCGGCCGGAUACUGUCUCUCCGGCACGGUCGGUGGGAGCCGGUAGGUGGGGCCGUUGUACUACAUCCUCGCGGCUCGCUCAGAGAGUGCUCUGGGUUUGGGGAAGAAGAGAAGGGCGGCGCAAAUGGAUGUGUGCAAAAGGUGAUGGCUGGUGGUUUAAAUAGGGAAAGGGGAAGGGAAGGGAACCGACCGCGCUUACGUUCAAACUAGCCGCGUCGAACGAUCCAUGUGCCACUUUAAUUGCCACGUUGAAUAGAUGCGGGUGGAUCAAAAAAGUGUGAAACCAAGGCUUUAAUUGCCACGUUGAAUACAUGCGGGUGGAUCAAAAAAGUGUGAAACCAAGGUUUUAAUUGCCACGUUGAAUCGAAAAGUGUGAAAACAAGGUUUUAAUCGCCUCGCUCGCAUGCAUGCACGUCCGCCACCCGCACAUGCAAACCCACGUCGCCGCCCUUCCCAUGCAUGCAGGCCUCAGGCGCAGACAACGAGAUGGCCCAACGGUCCAUCCAGCGACCCAGCGGGUGAGGCUGGCGUGGGACGGCCCACCCGAAUUAGGCCCAAGCGAGCUUCACGCCGGGCACAUCCCAGGGGUGCAGGGAGUUUAGUCCCACCUCGCCGAGCGAGGGGAGCUAGCACCGGUUUAUAUAGCGGGCUGAGCUUUCCCUCUCAAGUUCCUUUCUAAAGCGGGCAGCACAUUGCCUAACCGUCUCCGUCCCUGCCCUGUGGGGCCUACUUGCUACCUGUUUUCACAAUCUGGCGGGCCUCUGCAUCCUGGCCCAAUAAAUGAUUGGGUUACUAGUCGUACGCAGGCCGUUGAAUUGUGAAAGCGGGCAAGUAGGCGGGUUUUUUUGUCUAUUUCAUUUUUUUCAUUUGUCACCAUUAUUUCCAUUGCAGCCUGUCCAUCAUGCUGCAUUUUGGCAAAAACAAGCUAGAGUUGUACACACCCUGAUUUAAUGCUCAAAAUGUCGGUCUAUACCUCAAGGGGACAUUGUAAAAUAAUUGUUUUUAAAAAUAUCUUUCAUAGACAUGUUGCACACAUGAUCUCUUGCACAAACAAUGCUAGGUUUCCAAGGUUUUGUAUUUUUUUGAAUUUUUUUGAAUUUAUAAUGCGUGACUGCUGAAAACAUCGGUCUAUGCCUCAAGGGGGCAUUGUAAAAUAAUGUUUUUCAAAAAUUUCUUUCAUAGACAUGUUUGGCACAUGUGUGUCACCAUGUACAAGAAAAUUUGGGUGAUUUGGAGGCGGUGGAAAAAUUCACCUUUUUUCAAAAACUGGCUUAAGUGACCAAAUGGUCCCUCCGGAAUGCGGGCAUUUUUUCGACCACCUCCAAAUCACCUCAAUUUUGGCACACAUGAUCUCUUGCACAAACAAUGCUAGGUUUCCAAGGUUUUGUAUUUUUUUGAAUUUUUUAUGCCCUGGGCAAUGUCAGUUCGAAACACUCUAGAGAUACUUCCUCAACCAAUGAUGCGACCCAAGGACCUUCAUGNNNNNNNNNNNNNNNNNNNNNNNNNNNNNNNNNNNNNNNNNNNNNNNNNNNNNNNNNNNNNNNNNNNNNNNNNNNNNNNNNNNNNNNNNNNNNNNNNNNNNNNNNNNNNNNNNNNNNNNNNNNNNNNNNNNNNNNNNNNNNNNNNNNNNNNNNNNNNNNNNNNNNNNNNNNNNNNNNNNNNNNNNNNNNNNNNNNNNNNNNNNNNNNNNNNNNNNNNNNNNNNNNNNNNNNNNNNNNNNNNNNNNNNNNNNNNNNNNNNNNNNNNNNNNNNNNNNNNNNNNNNNNNNNNNNNNNNNNNNNNNNNNNNNNNNNNNNNNNNNNNNNNNNNNNNNNNNNNNNNNNNNNNNNNNNNNNNNNNNNNNNNNNNNNNNNNNNNNNNNNNNNNNNNNNNNNNNNNNNNNNNNNNNNNNNNNNNNNNNNNNNNNNNNNNNNNNNNNNNNNNNNNNNNNNNNNNNNNNNNNNNNNNNNNNNNNNNNNNNNNNNNNNNNNNNNNNNNNNNNNNNNNNNNNNNNNNNNNNNNNNNNNNNNNNNNNNNNNNNNNNNNNNNNNCCCUCUAGACUGACUGCUGAAAACAUCGGUCUAUGCCUCAAGGGGGCAUUGUAGAAUAAUGUUUUUCAAAAAUUUCUUUCAUAGACAUGUUUGGCACACGUGUGUCACCAUGUACAAGAAAAUUUGGGUGAUUUGGAGGCGGUGGAAAAAUUCACCUUUUUUCAAAAACUGGCUUAAGACCAAAUGGUCCCUCCGGAAUGCGGGCAUUUUUUCGACCACCUCCAAAUCACCUCAAUUUUGGCACACAUGGUCUCUUGCACAAACAAUGCUAGGUUUCCAAGGUUUUGUAUUUUUCUGAAUUUUUUUGAAUUUAUAAUGCCCUCUAGACUGACUGCUGAAAACAUCGGUCUAUGCCUCAAGAGGGCCCGGCUUCGCCUGUGAUGUCGCCGACGGGGAGCCCACGGGCGGCGCGCUUGAAGGCGCCGAUAACAUCGUUGAACCGCUUGCCCUUCCAAAAUCGGCGGCGGUUCUUACGGUUGAACCGCCCACCGAGGUGCGCGCUCAGCUCGGCGUUCGUCGCCGGCGGGCCCUGCGUGGGGUAGCCGUCGGCGGAGAUCGUCCACGGCCGCGGCACCUUCGCCGCCGGCGGCACGAACAGCCCGAACCGGAAGAGAUCUUCCGUCUGCCCUUGUGUCAGGCUCGAAGGCCAGACGCCGCCCGGUGCCGCGCCGUCGGAGUCUGAGUCGCUGGACGCCAUCCCGCGCAGAUCGGUGAAGAGAACGCGCGUGUGAAGAGGGAGAGGAGGGAUGGACGGGCGGUGUGACCAAACUCGCCGCGUAGGGCGGGUUUUAUAGUGCCGGGAAUUAAUGCGCGGCAGGUGAGGCGCCGUGGCGGGGCGGAGCGGGGCAUUAAACUGCGGCAGGGAGGCGCCGGGCCGCGGCAGCGGUGGCGUGCGGCAGGCGCGGGCACGGCAGUGCUGCCGUGCGGCAGCGGCGCGGUCUGGUGGCAAGCGAGGUGCUAUCGGCCGGCAGCGGCGCGAGAUGGGACGGGGCGGCGCGCGGAAGACGAGAUCCCAUGCAGCCGCGUUGACCGCGAGCUGCCGCGUUGAUCGCGGGCGAGUGGAUAGACCACGAUGGUAGGCGUGUGCGCAGUGGCCGGCCGGGUCGGUUGGACUAAUAAAUAUCUACGCGUGGGCAGGCGGGAUGACCAGACGAAAAAACUAAACUAAAAGUAAUCUAAACUAAAAAACAAAAAAAAAAGAAAAAAAAAGGAGAAGAGGGGUGGGGCUCACCUGCGGCAGGGGUGGGGCGCUCGCCGACGGAGGGGCGCUCAAGGACCUUCAUGCAAAAACCAGGCACCUGCAUGCAAGAGUCGGGGACCUGCAUGUGAAUAGUGAUUCAUCAAGGCCUUGACAGCUGCUGGCACAGCGGCUGCCGCCCGAUUUGCAUGCAGCGAAGAUGAACGUGCAUGGAGGUUUCUCAAAUAUUUCCAAGCACACCCCACUGGGCCCCGCUUAUUUAAAAAAUACAUCAGUCAUUAAUGAUCUCUAAAUGAAGAAUAUGCAUGAUGAUUAUGAAUAUGCAUGACAACCAUAGUAAGGGUGAAGAAUCAUAUUCAUCCUACAAUGAGGACCAACGCUUGCUAAAAUCACCUCGAUGAAGGUAUUUAAGCAGGUAAAGGAGCUGGUCGAGGGGCGAGGUGGGACUAUUUUUAGUUACACGAGAACAACGCGCGAGAUCGUACGUGACGUGGGCCGUCCGGAGCUGCAACCUCGGAUGGGCCGGUGUUUGGGUCGACGUAGGAAAACGGCCUGCCAUGCAUGAGCCAUGCAGACCGUGGGAUCGCGCGGGAGAUCCGUUUGGCGGCCGUGCGUGCGUGCAGAAAUACAUCACAAAAAUUAUUCUACUCGACAAUAACAAGUGCUCCAUGCUAGCCCUUAUUCCUGUUCGAAAUACAUCAUCAUUCUUAAAGUUGGACAUCAAAUGAUACACACAGAAAAUGGAAACGAAAGAUGUCGAACUAAUACAGUAACAUGGCAGUACAACCGCACUUCACUAAAUUACUGUCACGAUGAAAUAGAAUGUAAAGACCACGUCACACAAAGCUGAAUGGCACACGACUUUCUCUGGCUCAUCGUCGGUUCAUGCUGUAUGUAGACAUCACAGUUCAGCCUCAAGAUCCUACACAGAAGAAUAGAAUAAAUCACAUGGACAUCAAUUAUGAGUAAAACACAUGCAAAAAAUAAAUAUGAACAUAUUUCGUACCUCUAGCAAUUUAGCGCAUUUACGUGGAUUGUGACCAGGAUUCUUGCAAUAGCCACAGAUAUUCUGUGAUCUUGACUUCUUUGUCUUUGCCUGCAGCCUUUUCUUCGGUGCACCUCGGCCUGGCACAUGCACGGGAUCCAGAACCUUAUCAACUUUCUCCGAGUGCGGCAUCAACGGGCCAAACCUAAUGUUGUUAUGCUGAGCAUUAGUUGACUCCUUGCUGUCAGCUUGUUCAAAACUUGAUUGCUUGCCAUGAUGUUGUGCUUGCAAAAGCAUAAUUAGACGGUGAUAGUCCUCAUCAGAGUGGCAUGCCUUGAAACUUGCGGCGUGACUACAAUUCCGCAACUCGCGGUACCUCUGCAGGCUUACCGAAUAGUCAUACAUCUGGGUUUUUCUGGUAGGUGCGUAUGCACAUUUUGCAUUCAUAGUCCACCUAGUGGGAACGCAACAACUGGGCAGAAUUGUUUGUUUUAAAAUCCCCAAUAUGUAAAAAAUGUGGGAACAUGGUGUGCCUGCGCAUUCCAGCUUACGGCAAGAACAACUCACCCUGUGCAAAAGACCUCCUUGCUCUUCAAUGUGCACUCCAAACUUUUUAUCCAUUCUUUCCUGCUUGGACACAACAUAAGUGGAAUCUUCUGAUCCAUCUAGUAUCUCUCUGAUCUGACAUUUGCUGACAGCAUCUAUGCUCCAUAAGACCAUCUUAAAGACACUAGGUGUGAAAACUGUUGCGGCGUGUUUCUCAAGCGGCGAAGCAUUUUCCUCUGUAAAUGGAACGGACUGCAAGGCUUCAACGUCAUGGAGAGCUUCGUUAAUCCGUCGCGACGCAAGGCAACGCUCAUAGUGCUCUAGCAUUUCAAACAACGACAUCUUACCCUCAAGAUGCGUAUGUAGCACAGAGUUCAAGCUCUCACUCCUCUGAUUGCUGCUCAAUCCUAGGAAACAACGCCCCUCAAGAUAUGGAGCGCACCACAACUUUCUCAUUUGAUACAUCUGAUGCAGCCAAGACUCCUCACUGGUUACUUUAUUCUGUUGUAAGAAGUAUAUCCAUUCUAUCUCAUGCUCUUCAAUGGAAGAAGUAUCAUAAAUGAAAGAUCUGAAUUCCUCCUUUACGUCGUCAUCAUGCAGAUGGCGUACAAUGUUCUGCUGAAUGUGCCAUAUACAUAGUCUAUGGUUUGAGUCUGGCCAGACCACCCUGAUUGCUCUCUGCAUUGCAAGGUCCCCAUCUGUGAUCACAGAUAUCGGAUGCUUCUGUGCCAUGCAAUCAGAAAAGGUCCGCAACAUCCACUCGUAUGACUGGCUUGUUUCAUGAGAAAUUAUACCACAGCCAAAAAUGACAGUGCUCCGGUGGUGAUUCAACCCGACAAACGGCACGAAUGGCAGAUUGUAUUUGUUGGUUCUGUAUGUGCUAUCGAAAACAAUGACGUCUCCGAAAGCCUCGUAGUCAAGUCGCGAUUGACUAUCAGCCCAGAACAGUCCCUUCAGAUGGCCAUGCUCGUCUACCAAGUACUUGAAGAAAAAAUCCACAUCUCGCUCUCGCCUCGCCAUCAUGUGCAUGAUCACCGUAUUAGCAUCACCGGCACUGAUUGUCUCCUACUUAUUAGCAUGGCAGAAAUUAUAAAUGUCCCUCUUUAUGCAUCCAACCUUAUCAAAUCCACCAUAUUGAAAGCACAAAAUAUCCAUAAUAUGGUAUUUGCGGAUCCCACAUUUUUCCAUGUCCGCAAUGUCCGCUUUCUGCUCAUCGCUAAUUCGUCUGUGCGAACGCAGCAGACAAGAAAGAUCCCGUGGGGCUAGAGGAUGGCUGUGCUCAUCGAUGAAAUCCUUGACAAACCACCGACCGAUUUCCUCCUGUCUCGCAAUGACCAAUUUAGCAUUACACCCAACACGAGUUAAACUUCGUGGCCUCCUCUUUCUAUCUUCCAUCUUUCUUUUCAUGUGCUUCUCUUCGCGAAACCCUUGACGACUACACACAAUUUUCCUUAAAAUUAUGUAUUUGUUGGAUCCAUCCCACUCAACGUAGUUUUUCCUCACACUAAAACCUUUUUCAAGAGCAUAUUUGUUGUAGAAUUCAUAGCCUUCAGCCUCACUAUCAAACAUCUUGCUGACAACAUUUAGAUACUCGAACAUACUCUCAUCACUUGCAUACGCCAUGUCUUCCUGCAUAUCACAUGUGAGGGAAACCAAUCAUCAACAUCUUUCUGUUUAUCAAUGUUGCAGGUGUGAAAUAGCUCAUAGGCAAAGACAAGUGCAUGGAAAAGACUUUGCUCGUUUGACAUGUGAGGGAAACCAAUCAUCAACGCCCAACAAGUACUAUCCUAGCAUGGAUGAUGACUCUAAUAAACUGGAUUCAUACCUGGUACGCGCGAAGAGAUGGGAUCGUCCGCCGCCGUCGUCGCCGAUUCAGCCGGCGCAGAUCCGCCCUUCUUCUUCUUCGGUGACGGCGUGGGGGGGGGGCUGGGGUUGGUUGGGUGGAGGACGAGGACGAUGAAUUUAUUCCUCUCACCGGGCAGGUCGAGGACGGAGAAGGUCAGGAGCGGCGACGAAUAGAUCGGAGGAGGAUUCUGAUCUGGAUCGAGUAGACAUGGAUCUGGUCCUCAAGUGAUUGGUUCAAGAAAAGAUAUUUCCCCUGGACCAUUAUGCCCUUAUCGCAAUUAACAUAUUAAAUUUAAUCAAGUUUAAUUCCCCGCAAGAUCGGACGGCUAAUAAAAAUCAGACGUGAUCAGAGAUGUAAGUACUGCUAAGUACUCCGAGUACUAACCCAAUCACCGUAAAACAGCUCAUUAAAUUGAUGUUGGUCUAUAGUUCGGCUAGUAGUCUUCUCACGUGUUAUCAUUGCUAGCAAGGAUAAUCCAUCGAAGUGACCCGUGGUGCUUAGAGUUUCUUCUAUAAAAAUAUGCCUCUAAGGGCUAGUCUUGGAUGGUCUCGUUUUUUUUUAACAAUGACAAUCCAUCCUGCAGUAUCGUGUAUGCACGCCGCCGCCUCAUUUAGGGAUGCAGGCGGACGCGUACAUUAGAUCAUUACAACCAUGACAUAAUUAAUUGGUUGUGUCAAUACACCAUAGCAGGGAUUCCCUACAACGAAAUGGAGUAUAUUCUAAGUCAUGUCGUGGUACAACAAACCGCAAAUUGAACAUACGUUAAGCAAUGCUCUCUUUUGCCAAAUGAACCGCAGGGCAGCGGCGGCGGAAAGAAGUGGGUAAAAAUAGUGCAGGAGUGGAAGAUACUGCAGGACAGCUUGCCAGGUACGUGUGGCCUUCGCGUCUAACUUAUAUAUGUCUCAGUAUAUUUUACUAGCAAUGACUCAAUGGACGAAAUUGGCACAUUAAUCUAUAUAUGUAUGCAGACACAAUCUAUGUACGUGCGUUUGAGGACCGUAUGGACCUGCUCCGGGUGGCGAUGGUGGGCGCGAGCGGGACGCCUUACCAGGACGGGCUCUUUUUCUUCGACCUGCAGCUACCGUUGUCCUACCCGGACGUGCCACCGCAGGUGUACUACCACUCCUUCGGUAACCGUCUGAACCCAAACUUGUAUGCCUCUGGCACGGUGUGCCACAGCCUGCUCAACACUUUCGGCGGCGAGGGCACCGAGGUCUGGGUGCCAGGGACGUCGAGCCUCCUUCAGGUGGCCGUCUCCCUCCAGGCCCUCGUCCUCAACAACCAGCCCUACUACAACGAGGCCAACUCCGAGCACCUGGUCGGCACGCCACGGGGCCACCGCCACGCGUUGCCUUAUAACGAGAACGCCUUCUUGCUCACUCUUCGGACCAUGCUCCAUCUGUUGCGCCGACCGCCGCGGGGCUUUGAGGGGUUCAUCAGGGACCACUUCCGCCGAUGCGGGAGAUGCAUCCUCGCGACGUGUGAAGCGUACCUGCAGGGAUGCGUGCCCGCCGAUCAUGGGAGGAUGGAGUUGUCGUGCUCCACCGGCUUAAGGAUCGCGCUUGACAAUGUCUUGCCCAGGCUCACGGCAGCGUUCACACAGAUUGGUGACGAAGGGAGCUGCUGCUGAUGUAUUGUCACUACGAGCACAGAAACUCUGAACUGUGACCAGUAGACAACAACAGUUGGAUUGUGGUGUCAACUAUUGCUUCAGCAAAAAUAUUUACUAUUGAUUAUUGAACCUUUCAUAGCUUCGGUAGAAAUCUUUACUAUUGAACCAUUGUGCAGCAUGUGUUGAUCUAAACUAUGCAUAGGGCCGGUUCCAUUACCACUGAUAACGGCAUACCGUUCUAGCCAAAAGUAAAUGAAACGUAGAUCUAAACUAACUAGCUAGUACCAGUUAUUUCUUAUCCAGAGUUGUGUUUGGAUAGCUAUCAAGUCUAAACAAGAAACCAUUUGAAUCGACGUUAUGUUGAGGUUGUCAAUAAUACACCCACUUCCACAGAUUUCGAUGAAAUCUAUUCGGGAUUAUUUUUUUGAGUGAUUUUGCAUCAAUCAAGUUAGUGGCAUUGUAUACCAUACACAUGUAAUCUUGCUAAAGGAAGAUGGUCAUUUUGUUACGAAAGGAAUAGAUUCCACUUAAACAUGGUGCACCAUAUCAGUGGUCACCAAACCUGAAACAAAGUCUGGCGCAUCCGUCACCCAGAGGAUAAGGGCUCUAUAGCGCCUAAAGCUGCACAAAGUUUGUGAAAAUCAGGAAAUUCAAACAAAGAAAGGCAUGGGCUCUUUGCUUCACCGAAGAGGACGCCAAGCUCCGUAGUAUCAUAGUCUCACCCUUCCAGUGUCGUCGCCAUGGUCAAGCAGACUGACUAAAAGCACAAUGUGUUGUUCGAACCUCCUCCCAAAUGGGAUGCAUCCUUAAUGGCUUCGCGAUCAUCUCGGCCUGGAGGGGUACGCGCAUGUUGCAUCUUGCCAGCCGCCGCCGCCAAGAAGGCACCCCGUUCAUCACGCGCCACAAAAACCUCACCCACUCUUGUAUUAUGAGGGCCAAAAUUGCUUCACACGACAUUCUCCAGCUGAUCAGCAUAGUAUAAUCUAACACACAAGUUCGAUUAGAAGGACAACAAUAGGAGGUAUGUAAUCCUUGGCUUUAUCUUUUGUAUUGAUUGGAUCCAAUUUAUACAUGUUUCAGACUUAUUUCGUUGGUCCUACACUCAUUUUUUUUCGCAUCUACCUCAUACUAGAUAGAAAACACUAAUAUGUCCUGCUACUUACGAAUUAGGGAUGUUUUAAAAUAACAUUGAUUAGCUUUAGUGCGUAGAUUCCUGUCGUCUCAAUGAAGCGGUGAGGUUAGGGUUUCUCGUCAUGUGACGAUAUUUGGUGUCAGGUGCUUUAGAUCUAUGCAAGGGCUCAACGGUAACAACUGCGGCUCCAUGGCCCUGGUCCUUAGGGACACGUGCACUAAAACUUCCCAAUUGUCAUCGACAAGGUCGAGCUGGCUCCAGUACGGGAGCGGCAACAUCGGUGCGUAGGUGGCUUGUUCUGGUGGCAGUAGUGGUCGUUUGAUGAUAUCGGAAUCUCAAUAUAAUUUUUAUUAUGUUUGAAUUAUUUAUACUUCCUGUGAACUUUAAUAAUAGAUCCGACCUUUUGAAAAGAAAACAUCGAUUAGCCUAUGUUUAGCCUUCUUUUUUUAUGGUAAUACGUGCCUCAUUUAUAUCAUAAGAAUCAUAGUACAAGUCACAUACACACCGAUCUGACAAAACUGAAAAGACAGCAGAACAACAGCCUUUGCAUAAAGGAACAUCGGUUAAGAAAAAACUUACAAUCAAGACUGAAGAAUUCUGUAAGCUUGGUGGCCUAUUUUCGCCUUGGCGGGAUAAUAUGCUCCCUAUAAACGUGUAUUCGUAUCUGCAAAAAAAAUAUAAACGUGUAUUCGUAAAUAAAGGAAUAAAAAUAAUUAUUUACCCCCUCGAUACGUGCUUCGAUACCUCCCCCGGUACGUUUGCGAUACGGUCCAGCCCAGCUAAUAGACAUAACCCUAGCCCGGCCCCGAUGAUCCCCUGAAUCGAUCCUUCCUCUGGAUCCCGACCUGGCUCCACACCCGGCGGCGGCGGUAGGCCGGCGGCGAAUCCAGCAGUGCUGCGUUCCCCUUCCUUACAGACUGCCCGGCUCCCCCUCAGCCCCUCUCACACAGGCACGCAACAGCCAGUAGCAGCCCGUUCCCCGGCGGCAGCUCGCCGGCUGAGCUCGUCACUUCAAAGGCGGCAGCGGCAGCAGCAGACCAAGGUACACGCUCGGCCUCUAACUCCUCAACUCCAGUGCCUAGUACCGAACCGUAGCUCACAGCUCAGUUUCUUUUUCUCAUCUCCUCUGAUCCUCUCCUCUAGAUGCCCCUGCUCAACCUAGGGCGCCACUGUGUUUGUGUAGCCAUGUUACAAUUCUAGAGCAAAAUAGAAAAAAUGUAUCCCCUACUGAUCUUUUUGUUGGCAAAUGUAGGUACUUGAUUGAUGGAGCCAGAUUUAACUUUGGAUGAAGUAGCAGAACAGAACAGAUCAGCACCUGACGCAGAGGAUGAAGAUGCUUUCGUCGUCGAGGAGAUUGGGGAUUCUUCAGAUGACCGACAGGCAGAGCCGACUGUGAUGUUGGAACCCAAGAAGGGGAUGAUGUUCAGUAGCGAGGAUGAUGCUGUCAGGUUCUACAAAGCUUAUGCCAGAAAAAAGGGCUUUGGUGUGAUAAGAAGGACGACCAGACACGGUGAAGACAAAAUGCUUACUUAUUUCACGCUUGCUUGUAACAGACAAGGGAAGGCUCAGUACUCAGCAAAGAACUCAUUUAAGCCUAAUCCGUCAACAAGGAUGCAAUGCCCAGCCAAGAGUAAUUUCUCUCGUCGUGGGGAAAAUUUCUGUAUCACGACUGUUACGCUUGAACACAAUCAUCCUAUAAGUCCAAGCAAAGCCAGAUUUCUGAGAUGCCAUAAGAAAGUGGACUUGCAUUCCAAGAGAAGGCUAGAAUUGAAUGAUCAAGCAGGAGCAUGUAUGAACAAGAAUUUUGGUUCUCCUGUUAUGGAAGCUGGAAAUCUUGAGUUUGGUGAAAAGGAAUACACUAACUAUUUGCAAGAGAAAAGAAGCCUGAAACUUGGUGCUGGAGAUGCACAUGCUCUUUAUCAAUAUUUUCUCCAUAUGCAGUCAAAAGAUCCAGCUUUUUUCCAUGUUAUGGAUGUGGCCGAGGAUGGACGACUGAGAAAUGUCUUUUGGGCAGAUGCAAGAAGUAGGGCUGCAUACGAGUCUUAUUGGGAUGUCAUCACAUUUGAUACUACAUACCUUACAAACAAGUAUACAAUACCGCUCGCUACUUUUGUUGGCGUAAAUCAUCAUGGAGAAUCUGUUCUAUUAGGUUGUGGUCUUCUGUCCAAUGAAGACACCGAGACUUUUGUUUGGCUGUUUAAAUCUUGGCUAUGUUGUAUGUCAUGCAAACCACCAAAUGCUAUAAUCACCGACCAAUGCAAACCAAUGCAGAAUGCUAUUGAAGAAGUUUUCCCUCAAGCUCGUCAUAGAUGGUGUACAUGUCAUAUCAUGAAGAAGAUUCCUGAAAAGCUUAAUGGGUAUGAAAAAAUUAAAUCUACAUUGUCAAAUGUGGUGUAUGAUUCCUUGACCAAACAUGGUUUUGACAAAACUUGGGUGGAGAUGAUCAAUAAAUAUGAUCUUCAGGACAAUGAAUGGCUUGCUGAAUUAUAUGAUAAUAAAAAUCGAUGGGUACCAGCAUAUGUAAAAGAUACUUUCUGGGCAGGAAUGUCUUCAACAAAAAGGAGUGAGAGUGUAAAUGCUUUCUUUGAUGGCUAUGUCAAUGCUAGAACAACUCUGAAGCAAUUUGUGGAGCAGUAUGAAAAUGCACUAAGAGACAAGGUAGAGAAAGAAAACAAGGCUGAUUCUAAGUCAUUCCAACAGCAAAUUCCAUGCAUUACUCACUAUGACUUUGAGAGACAAUUUCAAGCAGCAUAUACUACUGCAAAGUUUAAAGAGUUUCAAGAUCAAUUAAGAGGUAAAAUCUAUUGCUAUCCAACUCAUCUGAACAGAGAAGGAUCAAUUUUUACAUUUGGAGUCAGAGAGGACAGCAAGAUUUUUUGUGAAGGAGAGGAUGGCAAAGGAAAAGAGAAAAGGGUUAUUUUAGAGUUCAUUGUCCUGUUCAACCAAGGGGAAUGUGAUGUGCAGUGUAUGUGUAGGCUCUUUGAAUUUCGAGGCAUCUUGUGUAGCCACAUCAUUUCCGUGCUUGCUCUCAUGGAGAUCACAGAUGUACCUUCUAGGUAUAUAUUGCAGCGAUGGAGAAAGGAUAUUAAGCGCAAACACACAUUUAUUAGAUGCUCCUAUGAUGAUAUGAUUGAUACACAAGUUGUGCAGCGUUAUGAUAAUUUGUGCAAGCGUUCCCGCGAACUGGCAGAGAAUGGUGCAGAGUCUGAUGCAUUGCAUGACUUGGUGAUGGAUGGCCUUAAUGAAUUACAAAGUAAGAUUGACGCGUACCGUGCUAGGUAGGAAGUUUAGGAGAAGGAUCCAACUUCAAAGCAUGAAGAUACGAUGAAAAAGAAAAAAAAGGAAAAAUUGUACUCAGUCCAAUCCCUUUUCACAGUGUAGGUCGUCCUCCUUCAAAGAGAAAGGAAUCGAAAGUGGAUCAAGUGGUCAAAAAAUUGAGAGCAAAGAAGCAGCAGGUACCAACAAAUACAAAUGAAAUGCCAAGUCAAUAGAGGAGAAAGGUAUCUAAAUUUUAGUUAUCCAAAAAGAUCUUCCUGUUGUAACUUACUAAAGUGUAAGAACCAUCUCUUGGCAGAAACAGAACAGCAAAUCAAAAAAUGGGCAAGACGCCAAUCUAGAGAGUUCACAACAAAUGGAUGUAAUAUUUCAUUCAGAUACUCUAUGAGAAACACCAAUCAGUACCGCCAAAAUUCUGCAUGCAAAGGCCAGGCUAGCAUACCACACGGUUAAUGGUUAAUUAACUCAUGAAACAAAACAAAAUAAAAUAAAACCUUGACCUUAUAGUGCUAGUCUGAGUUGAGUAUCAACCUUCUAAAUCCCUGAAAUAGGGACCCUUGCUUACCCUGAUCAAUCCUGACUUGUACCUCUUCAGCGCAGGCACAUCAGGAAAAGGGCCAUCCUCGCUAACAUACAUGUGAGAUCUUGAGUUCUACUAAUUUUCAGUCGACUGAUUUCUAAUUGGCACUAGGUCAAAUUUUCAUUCGUUUGAUCGGCGGUCGUGAAUCUCAGCGAGCGAUUAUCCUGUUGUACUGGUUGUGUGCGCGAUCGAAUUGGCAUUGGAUGUUUGUUUUAACGGGUUUUGUUUCCACAAAAAUAGACCCGGUUUGAGAGGGCAUGAGAGGAUGCCCUCACUACACUGCCUCCCCCCUCCUCUCCCUUCCCCAGCAGUCCUCCGUUGACCUGCAAGGGAGGGUCUGCCUCUAUUCCACUAGUUUUGAAUUUUAGCUCUGCUCCUUGAUUCAUCCCCUCCCCCCGGGUAGGUUCUGUCCUCCUUUUGUUGUGAUUCGAUUUUUAGCUUUUUUCUGUCUCCCACAGUUUCGAUUUGUCAUGGAAUUAAUGAGCUAUAGUUCAAUGAUUUUUUCAGAUCAAGGGUUUGUGUCAACAUUUGUGUUGUUUGGGGGUUGGAAGUGAUGGCGCUUUUUUUUUUGCUCAUUUCUUUGGGUUUCAGUAUCCAGUGCAAACUGGGAGCAAACUGCAAGUUAUCAGCUUCAUCCAGAGUAAAUGAAAAAACAAACUAGCUAGCUAUCUGCAUUCAUAUUAAAAAAAACUGUCUGCAUUCAAAUGCCAAGAGCCAUUAGCAGCAGCAGCCAACCCAACCAAUCCCAAUCAAAUCACACUAAAAAAUCGGAGUGCAAGCAAGCCCUAAAACAGUCAAGAAGUUUUUGCUUAGCCUUUUGAUUCAGUUUGGGUUGGUACCCUUCCUCCACCAGGUAGCGUCUGUUGUAGUCCAAUUUCUGUACCACAAGCACAUAGCUCUAGUCUAUCUUGAUCUGAUCAUUGAGAUGAUUUGUUUUUUACUGCUGAUGGAAUCAUUAUCAUUAAAUAAUUCUGAUUGAAGUAAAGUGCUCAUACCUUUCUAAAUAUACCAUCUGCUAAUGUGGUUGUUGUGAGCAGGACAAGGCUGGGAUGUACGGGGUGGUUUCUAUGUCAGUCCUGAUGCAAAGCUGCUAUUUGUGGUUCCGAUCCGUGGGUAAGGCACCACCUUAACAAUAUAUUAUUCUAUCUUCAUUGAUUUUUUUUCAAUUAAUGUCUUUUUUAUGUCCAUUUUUGAUACAUAAACAUCUGCAGGAACAGUCCAGCCAUGUUGGUGAUGAGUGGAGAUCACUACAUCAGCACAAAGUACUCCACUGCAAAGCAUGGCCGAAUGUACUUCCAAGUCUGGAUGGUUGAAAUUCACGAUGUAGACUAAUCUGGAGAUAGGGUUGCUCAUGCUCAUCUGAUUUUCAUGAUGAUGAAACUCUUGGCAUCGGUUUUGAACUUUUGAUGCCCUGUAGAUAGUCAGCACUAGUUGCCCAAGGCUUCAGACACGAUGUUUUGCCAUCAGUAGUAAGUUUCAGUCUAGGCAUCAUUAUAUGACCAGACACAAGUCUUCUUCAGUUUCUUUUCAAGUUUAUCAGUUGA